rnacentral:rRNA from 1 species
UACGGGGGGGGCAAGCGUUGUUCGGAAUUACUGGGCGUAAAGGGCUCGUAGGCGGCCAACUAAGUCGGAUGUGAAAUCCCCAGGCUUAACCUGGGAAUUGCAUCCGAUACUGGAUGGCUUGAAUCCGGGAGAGGGAUGCGGAAUUCCAGGUGUAGCGGUGAAAUGCGUAGAUAUCUGGAGGAACACCGGUGGCGAAGGCGGCAUCCUGGACCAACAUUGACGCUGAGGAGCGAAAGCCAGGGGAGCAAACGGG